rnacentral:tRNA from 1 species
GGCCUGGUGGCGAAGUGGUAACGCGAGAGUUUGCAAAACUCCUAUGCGCGGGUUCGAUUCCCGCCCAGGCCU